AUUGAACGCUGGCGGCAGGCUUAACACAUGCAAGUCGAGCGAGCGGCGGACGGGUGAGUAAUGUAUGGGAAACUGCCUGAUGGAGGGGGAUAACUACUGGAAACGGUAGCUAAUACCGCAUACCAUCAGAUGUGCCCAGAUGGGAUUAGCUUGUAGGUGGGGUAAUGGCUCACCUAGGCGACGAUCCCUAGCUGGUCGGCGAGGAUGACCAGCCACACUGGAACUGAGACACGGUCCAGACUCCUACGGGAGGCAGCAGUGGGGAAGAUUGCACAAUGGGCGCAAGCCUGAUGCAGCCAUGCCGCGUGUGUGAAGAAGGCCUUCGGGUUGUAAAGCACUUUCAGCGAGGAGGCGUUACUCGCAGAAGAAGCACCGGCUAACUCCGUGCCAGCAGCCGCGGUAAUUC
rnacentral:rRNA from 1 species